rnacentral:rRNA from 1 species
CCCUUAGAUGUUCUGGGCCGCACGCGCGCUACACUGACAGGGCCAGCGAGUACAUCACCUUAACCGAGAGGUUUGGGUAAUCUUGUUAAACCCUGUCGUGCUGGGGAUAGAGCAUUGCAAUUAUUGCUCUUCAACGAGGAAUGCCUAGUAGGCACGAGUCAUCAGCUCGUGCCGAUUACGUCCCUGCCCUUUGUACACACCGCCCGUCGCUACUACCGAUUGAAUGGCUCAGUGAGGCCUUGGGAUUGGCUUAGGAGGGUUGGCAACGACCCCCCAGAGCCGAAAACUUGGUCAAACUCGGUCAUUUAGAGGAAGUAAAAGUCGUAACA